rnacentral:misc_RNA from 1 species
GAUGAAGAACGUAGCGAAAUGCGAUAAGUAAUGUGAAUUGCAGAAUUCAGUGUAUCAUCGAAUCUUUGAACGCAUCUUGCGCUCCUUGGUAUUCUGAGGAGCAUGCCUGUUUGAGUGUCAUUAAAUUCUCAACUACACUGACUUUGAAUUGGUGUGGCUUGGAUUUGGGGGGAAAAUUGUUGUGGGCUUUUUGUAUAGUCUGCUCCCCUGAAAUUGAUUAGCGGUACCUUUGUGGAACUGUCUACAGGUGUGAUAAUUAUCUACAUCUUAGACAUCUGCUGGAAUGCUGCUUUCUAAACCUUACUUGUAUUGACAAUCUUGACCUCAAAUCAGGUAGGACUACCCGCUGAACUUAAGCAUAUCAAUAAGCGGAGGA